UUUGUCUUUGAAAGGGACAGUAUUGUUCGACAGUCUUUCAUAUUCGAGACGCGAUAGUGGAAACGUGCUAGCAAUCAGCAACGUUUGAGCAAUUAGUAAGAAGUGCUAGUUGCUAGAUAAAAUAUAAAAUCUGGUUAUUCGAAAGUUGACUUGCAAUUUUCCAUAAAAUGGAGUUGUUCGGGGAUGGGUCAUACGGCAACCGGAUAGAUUAUUUCACACGUGGAAAAUCCUCCCCUGAUGCACUUCGUGAUACAUAAAGGAGCUUAUUCCAGUAACACAAUUCUUCAUUAAUUCUCUUCCAUGCUGUUAUGAUCCAGUAGUAGGGUUCCAUUUCAACUUCAUUUUUGCAAAUGGAAUCAUAUUUUUUUCAAAUACAUUCAUCGAUCUAUCUUUGUAUUCCUUAUGAAAAAAUUAAAAAGAUCUGUUAGUUCACCAGAAAUCUUAACUUAAAUUCGUCAUAUGAAAGGAAGCCAGGUAAGGAUGCGAAACGGCACUCCUGUGUUUUUUCUUUUGCUUAUGUUUCAUACGACAAAUUAAAGGUAAGAUAUAAUUUAAAUUAACAGUUUUUCGACAUAAAUAGGUUAAUACUUUUUUAUAUGAUAUGAAACGUUGCUAUAUCGGUUACACCACUGUUGUUUACAAAGCACGAGUUUCGACUGAUUGGUAGAUUAAAAAAAAAAAA
rnacentral:misc_RNA from 1 species